GAUGAGAGGAUAUCCAACGACCAACGUGCCAAGAGCCCAACGCCCGCCACACGCUCCCACCCGGACCUCGGCGCCGCCCGGCCGACCCGAAUGGCGACUCUCUCCGCCCCCUUGCUCCGUUCCCACCACCGUCACCUCCCCAUCCGCUCCUCGCCGCGCCGCUGCCCGACCGCCGCCGCCUUCCCGCGCGGGUUCGCUCCCCUCGAACCCCUCUCUUCCCGCGCGCCCUCACGCACCGUCGUCCGCUCCGCCUCAACCUCGGCAGCGGCACCGGAGGCCGCCGAGGCAUCGGGAGGCGCGGCCCCGAGCGAGACGGCCGCGGAGGUGGAGGUGGAGGCGCGCGUCGUGCUCCCCACCAACGAGUCCUCCGAGAACCUGCUGCGCAUCCGCCACACCUGUGCCCAUGUCAUGGCGAUGGCCGUCCAGAAGCUGUUCCCCAACUCCAAAGUUACCAUAGGCCCCUGGAUAGACAAUGGCUUCUACUACGACUUCGACAUGGAGCCCCUCACGGAUAAGGACCUCAAGAAGAUCAAGAAGGAGAUGGACCGAAUCAUUCGACGGAACCUCCCAUUGGUGAGGGAGGAGGUGUCCAGGGAAGAGGCUCAAAAGAGGAUCCAAGCGCUUAACGAGCCAUAUAAGCUGGAGAUUUUGGAGAGAAUUAAGGAAGAACCCAUCACAAUUUAUCACAUUGGAGAAGAGUGGUGGGAUCUGUGUGCUGGCCCUCAUGUUGAGUCUACUGGCAAGAUACAGAGAAAAGCUGUUGAACUCGAGUCUGUUGCUGGUGCUUACUGGAGAGGUGACGAGAAUAAUCAAAUGCUACAAAGGAUAUAUGGGACUGCAUGGGAGAGUGAAGAUCAAUUGAAGGCUUACAUCCACUUCAAGGAGGAGGCCAAGCGCAGAGACCAUCGGCGACUAGGUCAGGACCUUGAUCUGUUCUCUAUACAGGAAGACGCUGGUGGGGGUUUAGUAUUCUGGCAUCCAAAAGGUGCUAUCAUCAGACACAUUUUAGAAGAUUCGUGGAAACAAACUCACCUGCAACGUGGUUAUGAUCUAUUGUACACUCCACAUGUUGCGAAGGCUGAUCUCUGGAAGAUUAGUGGACAUAUAGAUUUCUACAAAGAGAAUAUGUACAACCAAAUGGAUGUAGAAGAUGAGCCAUAUCAACUUCGGCCCAUGAAUUGCCCUUACCACAUCUUGGUAUAGAAGAGAAAGCUACAAUCAUACAGGGAUUUACCCAUCAGAGUGGCAGAGCUUGGAACUGUCUACAGAUAUGAGCUCUCUGGUGCUCUGCAUGGGCUGUUCCGUGUAAGAGGGUUCACACAGGAUGAUGCCCACAUAUUUUGUCUCGAAGACCAGAUAAAAGAUGAAAUUAGAGGAGUUCUUGAUUUAACUGAAGAAAUACUGGGGCAGUUUGGCUUCCGGAAUUAUGAGGUAAACCUUUCAACCAGGCCAGAAAAAUCUGUUGGCAGUGACGACAUAUGGGAAAAGGCAACAAUUGCUCUGAAAGACGCACUAGAUGAUAAAGGAUGGGGAUACACGGUUGAUGAAGGGGGAGGUGCUUUCUAUGGUCCAAAAAUUGAUUUGAAAAUUGAGGACGCUCUUGGAAGAAAAUGGCAAUGUUCCACUGUGCAGGUUGACUUCAAUUUGCCUGAACGGUUUGACAUCACUUAUGUUGACUCGCAUACUGAGAAGAAACGGCCUAUCAUGAUUCAUAGAGCCAUCCUUGGGUCUUUGGAGCGCUUUUUUGGCAUCCUCAUUGAAAACUACGCUGGUGAUUUUCCACUUUGGCUUGCUCCAACCCAAGCCCGUAUUCUACCUGUCACAAACAAUGAGCUGCAGUACUGCAAUGAGGUGGCUUCAGAACUGAAAUCAAGAGGUAUCCGCGCCGAGGUAUGCCACGGCAAGCGUCUGCCGAAGUUAAUCAGAAACGCCGAAACACAAAAGGUGCCGCUCAUGGCGGUCGUUGGCCCCAAGGAAGUCGAAGCUAGGACUCUCACCAUCAGGCGGGGGACCCGACCCGACCCGACCCGACUGAUUGGGGCAUCACUCGCGCUCGCUCCGGGUGGGACGGCGUCGUGCGGAUCUAUGAUUGGGGCGUGAUGGACGGACCGAAUUUUACCGGGCAAGUCGACAACACCUGGGACAAAAACCUGCAGGCUGGAGGACACUGGGAUAGGUAACUUCUCCACCCCAGAUCAGACACACAAGAAAUGUGGAUUACCUCUAGAUAUAGAGAUAAAGCCUUUUCAGCUAUUUGUAAUUCGCGAUUUAUAAUUACGAAACGCGCCACUUCUAGGUCAGGAUUGCUAAAGGGAAAAUUAAUUACGGCGAGCUGGAGGAGGACGACGAGGACGGCGAGAAGGUCCCCGAGCACAUCGACCUCGGCCCCAUCCUCAGCAUCAAGGACCAGCUCGAGAAGGACAAGGACGACGAGAGCCUGAGGAGGUGGAAGGAGCAGCUGCUUGGCAGCGUGGAUUUGAACUCCGUGGGAGAGACGCUGGAGCCGGACGUGAAGAUCAUGAGCCUGUCCAUCCAGUCCCCGGGCCGGCCGGACAUCUUCCUGCCGCUGCCGGUGGAGGCCAGCGGCAAGGGGGUGUGGUUCACCCUCAAGGAAGGCUCUCCGUACAAGCUCAAGUUCACCUUCUCCGUCAGCAACAACAUCGUCUCCGGCCUCCGCUACACCAACACCGUCUGGAAGACCGGCAUCAAAGUGGACAGCGCCAAGGAGAUGCUGGGCACGUUCAGCCCGCAGCCGGAGCCGUACGCGUACGUGACGCCGGAGGAGACCACGCCGUCCGGGAUGUUUGCCCGGGGAUCCUACUCUGCCAAGACCAAGUUCCUGGACGACGACCGGAAGUGCUACCUGCAGAUCAACUACACCUUCGACAUACGCCGGGAGUGGCCGUCGUCAGGCUGAGCCCGACCUGUGUGGCCGCCGUGUAGAAGUGAUACGUGCCUGCCUGCCUGCCUGCCUGGGUUACUGCUGUUGCCGUUGAAGCAGAUCGGUCUUUGUUUCGUUUGCGUUUUACUACCUGUUUUUCGUGGUUGCCCUUAGGGCUCUUGUCUCCUGUGGUGCGUCCGUGCGUGCGUGUAAAUUGGUUCGGUUUAUGUGUAAUGCCAGUGCGUCCCCGUGUGUGUGUGUGUGUGUGUGUGUGUGUGUGUGAGAGAGAGAGAGAGAGAGAGCGCCUUGCAUGGGUCUGUUUUGAAGAACGAACUGUAAUGCUGAGUUCAUGUAAUGCACCGGAGCAACGCAGCUGCACGCACUUCGUGUAACGCUCAAGAAAGAAAAGAAUACCUGCCACUCACUUUCUCAA